rnacentral:snoRNA from 1 species
GAAUCAAAAAUUAAAUACAACGGAAACAUUGCCACAGUCGAAUGCUUUGUGCCUCAGAUAGCACUACUAAUUUGAUUGCCAGAAAAAGUGAUGCAAGAUCAUCAGUUUUCUAGGUUUCCAAGAUUAACUUUUUUACUUGGAACAACAAGGAAGUUCAUGGACCGUGUGUUCUAACCAGCGUCUAGCCAAAAAACAGGCGUUGGGAGCGAUAGUCCAAGAAUGUCGAAGGAAGUCCACAUUU